rnacentral:rRNA from 1 species
UACGGGGGGGGCAAGCGCUGUUCGGAAUUACUGGGCGUAAAGGGCGCGUAGGCGGGUGGACAAGUCUCUCGUGAAAGCCCACGGCUCAAGCGUGGAAUUGCGGGAGAUACUGUCUGUCUCGAGUCCGGGAGAGGAGGGUGGAAUUCCCAGUGUAGCGGUGAAAUGCGUAGAUAUUGGGAGGAACACCGGUGGCGAAGGCUGCUCUCUGGACCGGUACUGACGCUGAGGCUCGAAAGCUCGGGGAGCAAACGGG